UAGUGCAUGGAAUAAUGGAAUAGGACCUCGGUUCUAUUUUGUUGGUUUUCGGAACCCCGAGGUAAUGAUUAAUAGGAACGGAUGGGGGCAUUCGUAUUGCGACGUUAGAGGUGAAAUUCUUGGAUCGUCGCAAGACGGACUUAAGCGAAAGCAUUUGCCAAAGAUGUUUUCAUUUAAUCAAGAACGAAAGUUAGAGGUUCGAAGGCGAUCAGAUACCGCCCUAGUUCUAACCAUAAACGAUGCCAGCUAGCAAUUGGGUGUA
rnacentral:rRNA from 1 species